GGGAUUGCCCUAGUAACGGCGAGUGAAGCGGCAACAGCUCAAAUUUGAAAUCUGGCCCCAGUGGUCCGAGUUGUAAUUUGUAGAGGAUGCUUUUGGUGCGGUGCCUUCCGAGUUCCCUGGAACGGGACGCCUUAGAGGGUGAGAGCCCCGUACGGCUGGACGCCAAUCCUAUGUAUAGCUCCUUCAACGAGUCGAGUAGUUUGGGAAUGCUGCUCUAAAUGGGAGGUAAAUUUCUUCUAAAGCUAAAUACCGGCCAGAGACCGAUAGCGCACAAGUAGAGUGAUCGAAAGAUGAAAAGCACUUUGAAAAGAGGGUUAAAUAGCACGUGAAAUUGUUGAAAGGGAAGCGUUUGCGACCAGACCUUUUCCAGGCGGAUCAACCGGCGUUCUCGCCGGUGCACUUCGCCUGGUCUAGGCCAGCAUCGGUUUUCCUAGGGGGAUAAAGGCCUGGGGAACGUAGCUCCCUCGGGAGUGUUAUAGCCCCUCGCGUAAUACCCUUGGGGGGACCGAGGACCGCGCUUCGGCAAGGAUGCUGGCGUAAUGGUCGUCAACGACCCGUCUUGAAACACGGACCAAGGAGUCGAACAUUUGUGCGAGUGUUUGGGUGUCAAACCCUCACGCGUAAUGAAAGUGAACGGAGGUGAGAGCCCUCACGGGUGCAUCAUCGACCGAUCCUGAUGUCUUCGGAUGGAUUUGAGUAAGAGCAUAACUGUUCGGACCCGAAAGAUGGUGAACUAUGCGUGGAUAGGGUGAAGCCAGAGGAAACUCUGGUGGAGGCUCGCAGCGGGUUCUGACGUGCAAAUCGAUCGUCAAAUCUGCGCAUGGGGGCGAAAGACUAUCGACCUCAUACUGCGGCGCG
rnacentral:rRNA from 1 species